AUGCUCACUUCAGCAACACAUAGACUGAAACUGAAAUUAUAGAACGAAGAUUAUUAGCAUAGUCCCUGAACAAGGAUGACAUGCAGAUUUGGGAAAAAUUUCAUGAGCUU